rnacentral:rRNA from 1 species
UACGGAGGGUGCAAGCGUUAUCCGGAUUCACUGGGUUUAAAGGGUGCGUAGGUGGGUUGAUAAGUCAGUGGUGAAAUCCCCGAGCUUAACUUGGGAACUGCCAUUGAUACUAUUGAUCUUGAAUACCGUGGAGGUCAGCGGAAUAUGUCAUGUAGCGGUGAAAUGCUUAGAUAUGACAUAGAACACCAAUUGCGAAGGCAGCUGGUUACGCGAAUAUUGACACUGAUGCACGAAAGCGUGGGGAUCAAACAGG